rnacentral:rRNA from 1 species
GACGAACGCUGGCGGCGUGCUUAAAACAUGCAAGUCGAACGGUAAGGCCCUUCGGGGUACACGAGUGGCGAACGGGUGAGUAACACGUGGGUGAUCUGCCCUGCACUUCGGGAUAAGCCUGGGAAACUGGGUCUAAUACCGGAUAGGACCACUGCCUGCAUGGGUGGUGGUGGAAAGCUUUUGCGGUGUGGGAUGGGCCCGCGGCCUAUCAGCUUGUUGGUGGGGUGAUGGCCUACCAAGGCGACGACGGGUAACCGGCCUGAGAGGGUGACCGGCCACACUGGGACUGAGAUACGGCCCAGACUCCUACGGGAGGCAGCAGUGGGGAAUAUUGCACAAUGGGCGCAAGCCUGAUGCAGCGACGCCGCGUGAGGGAUGACGGCCUUCGGGUUGUAAACCUCUUUCAGCACCGACGAAGCGCAAGUGACGGUAGGUGCAGAAGAAGGACCGGCCAACUACGUGCCAGCCGCCGCAGUAA